rnacentral:rRNA from 1 species
UACAGAGGGUGCAAGCGUUGUUCGGAAUCAUUGGGCGUAAAGGGCGCGUAGGCGGCCUUGCAAGUCGGAUGUGAAAGCCCAGGGCUCAACCUUGGAAGUGCAUCCGAAACUGCGAGGCUCGAAUCCCGGAGAGGGUGGUAGAAUUCCCAGUGUAGAGGUGAAAUUCGUAGAUAUUGGGAGGAAUACCGGUGGCGAAGGCGACCACCUGGACGGAGAUUGACGCUGAGGCGCGAAAGCGUGGGUAGCAAACAG